CGAAUUUUGAAUAAAACAUUAAAAUACGAUGUUCGGAAUAAUGUGUUCGUAAGUGUUCCGUUUAUUUGUUUUGUUGCGCGCGGGGUUUAAACAAUAGUACUUCUAAUAAUUUACAGACCAAUAAACAUGUCAUUUUAUACAUACGAGUACAUAUAUCCUAUGUGAAAGUGCAAAACAUACGCUAGUGGAUAUCGUUCGAAACACGUUACGCAUACACAUGCCAUCUUAUCGCAUAUAGUAUAAAAUGUACAUUCAUAGAGUACACACACAUACACACACACACACACACUAUUGAUACGUUCCAAUAAUGGAGAAAUGUUUUCUUGUAAAAUAUAGAUCGUUUAAUACCUUUACAAUAAUAGUAGGAAACGGUUUAAAAGUAUUUUUUCUUUAUUUAUUUAUUUAUUUUUUUUUUUUUUUAAAUGUACUCGAAACGUUAUAUACUAGAAACUUUUUCAACUGCACGUUUUGAGCAUAUAAGUAUUGUAUUUUUAUCACAAAAUACGUUUACACCAUUGAUGUAGUGGAUCGUAUACCCUAUACGCGGGCAUAUGCGUACACCUACUCACUUUUCGAUUUUUUUUCGACACGGAAAUAUAAUAUCGUGUCACGUUUGGACACUAUUUUUCUAGAUUUUGAGCGGAUGUUUGCUAUUUUUUUUUUUUUUUAUUUGUUAAUAAUUUUUCUACCAGAAAUCUUGCUCCGAUUUUCCAGGAGUAAUACUUUAAGAAGGUUAAUUUUUUAAUUUCCCAUACAACGUUAGAAAAACGGAAAAAUUUACAAAAUAUAUUAUUUUUAAAUAGUAAAUAUAACAAUCUUUCAAAAUAUGUAUAAACGAAUUCCGCUCAGGAUCGUUUUUCAUUAGCAAUAGUUUAUCGUUUCGUACAGAUAAAAAGUAAAUUUCCCCUCUACCUUCUCAACUUCUCACCUACAAAAGUGUUUAGUUUAUUAAGUAAAACUGUUAAAAAUCAUAUUCGUCAUAUUAUAAUUUUUUUUUAGAUUCAGAGAAUAUUUAAUAUUGCAUUAUCUUAAUUCUAAAGUUAAUAGAUGAAUACAGUAGGCAAUUUAUAUAAUACUAUAGCUAUCCCAACGUUGCCUGUGCCAAUUCAAUUCUCAUUUUUUUUUUUUUUUUUUUUUUGAUAAAUUAAAAACAGAAUCAAAAGCAGAAUUUUUGAAAAUCCUUUCAAUAACCAAAAUCAAUAAAAGAGAUUCAAUUAAACAUGUCCCCCUCUUUAUUUUAUCCAAAACCGUAGAUAUAAUAAUACGCUUUUUUAUUAUUAUGUGACACCCACGUUACCAUAGUGACCAACAAAAAUAAUUCGAUUUUCGUUACAAAAAUAUCAAAAACUCCGUUUCAAUCAACCUUUACGAGUAUUUAUUUUGGAAAUCCGGUAUCGAGGCGCACACAGACCCGUUCAUCCGCUUCAGUAUAUACGUGUUAAGAUUUCUGUGUACAAUAAAUUCAGCAGUGGAUCGCACAGACAGACAGACACUUCCUUAUUAUAAGAUAAUUAUUUACAUGAGUAUCAAUGCUGAUAUUAAAAUUAUACUUCCGAGCGCAUUAAACUGAACAAAAUAUAUAUAUAUAUAUAUAUAAAAAAAAAAAAUGUUUGUUGACUCCUGGGUUACAUAUACGCAAUACAAGGGAACAAAAACACAACUAAUUACUCCGAAAGUAACUCCUGCUCAGCAUUGUUUUUUGAUUGCAACGUGAUUUAUCGUUGCUUUCAGUAUGAUAUACAUUAAAUUACCCCCUGUAUCCUAAAUUAUACUUAAAACAUACUUCCCUCCUAUACUGCAUUGACCCCACGGAUUAUUAUUUUUUUUAUUAUUAUUAUUGUUAUAUUAAAAAAAAAAAAUAGUACCCGAGACAGUUAGUAUGUCGUUGUGAGUUAUAGGAAAUAAAAAAUUAUGUUAAAUUAUUAUUAUUGUAUAUUGCACGCGCGCGUUUUUGCGACACUCUCGAAGGAUGCACGAAACCGGGACCACUAUACUUAUUACUUAUAUUACGUUUCGAUUAUUGAUUUGAGUAAAAGGAAAACGCGCGAUACGAAAUACUAUUUUUGUUGAGUUCUACAACGAUACCGGACAUCGUGGGAAAUUUUAAAAAGUGGAACAUAAUAUUAUAUUGUAAACUAAAAUUCUAGUAAUUUUAUUUUAGAAACGCAUCGUAUUAAAGUAAAAAAAAAAUUGUUUAGAUUUUAAUUCCUAUAUAGGGAUAUAAUAUAUAUGUAAAUGUUCGAAUAAAAAAUCCAAAAACAAAAAAUUAACGUGGACCAAAAAAAGCCAAAACUGAAAAAUCCACGGACAGCGAAUCUGAAACCACUCGAAAAUCCAAUUUUUUCACGCCACGUUUCAAACGUGUAACCUAACGUGUCCUAAGAUGGUUUUAAGAAACGUUUUAUUUUCUUAAUUAUUUGUAUAUUGUAUAAAAUAUCUAAAAUGUAUGUAAACGGUUGGAUUUUUUUAACUGUGGGUUUUUAUUUUUUUGUCCUUGGUUCAUAAUUAAUAAUUAUUAUACAAUAUAUUUAUAUAGUGGGUAUAUCGUUUGAUAAUUUGUAUUGUAAAUUAUUAAUAUGGCUGAAAAAAACCAGCCCGUAUAAUAUUAUGUUGUUCGAUAGUAUAUAUCGUCGGCUACCCAGCAAAACCUCAUAAAUUGUUGUUUUUAUUUUAUAUUAUUAUUUUCGUGUCUGUAAAACAACACUUUUCUACCGGAUAUCUUGCUCCAAUCAAACACUUUAUAGGGACUUUAUUGUGGCGGCAUUUUUUUUUUUAUCUAACCUGUGCCCUUAAGGUGGUCAUAUUUAAUGAUUUUCCUUGUUGAAAUUUCCAAACAACGGUUUUGUGAAAUUUGUUGAAAUCAACUUACGAGAUUUUGCUGGGUAGCCGACGCUAUUAUAUUUUGUGUACGUGUAUAAUAUUAAUUGAUCGUAUUAUUUUAAAUCAUAGACCAUUAUUGAUAAUAACAUAUUCAUGUCGGGUUAACUUAAUGAUAUUAUAAUUAUAUUGUAAUUGAAAAAAAAAAAAAAAAAAAAAAAAAAAAAAAGAUAGCGUUAUUUUCUUAUAAAAAUAUUAUGGUGUACAACAAAUUCUAUGAACGCAAUAUAUUAUAUAAUUAUACUUGCGAAAUGUCACACGCUAAGAUUUCGGUAUAAAUUCAUAAUUAAUAUUAUUGUUGUACGCGAUAUUGUUCUGCAACUGUGGGAACAAUACGAGUUAAAAAUAGAGACUUAUAUUAUAUACGAUUAUUAUUAUUAUUAUUAUUGUCUUACCUAUACUGCUCUCGGACCCUUGUAAUAAUCUUUUUUGUAUACCUGAAAACCUUAUUUUACAUAUAUAUAUAUAUAUUAUAUAUUAACAAUAUUAUAUUAGCGU